UAUGUAAAAUUAUUUAUACCUUAUCACACGUACGAAGCUGAUAAAUUAUUUAUUUAAUGUGAAAACAAAUGCAUUGUAUAAUACUUAUUCUAUUACUUAAAUUUAAAAUUAUAAAGAAUGAAACUUAAAUUUAAAAUUGUAAAGAAUGAAUUAAUAGAUUAUGGGAGAAUACCUUUCAAAAAAAAUUAAAAUUAACUAACUUUUUAUGCUUCUAACGUAACAUUUUUUUUGUUGUUAUCAUAAGACAAAAUUUUAGUCUAAAAAAUUCAUUUUAGGGUCUCCUUAGGGAAAAAAAAACAUCAUUAUCACAUGAUAAUUUGGUAGCCUAAGUUAUAUUAUUUAUAGUUUACUUAGUUAUGCCAAACACCUUAUUGAGAUUAAAUUUUAGUAAAGUAAACCCAUCCCACCAUCUUUAAUCACAUUCAACAGGCCCUAAUUGAUUAGAUCUUGUUUUAGAAAGUAAGAUAUGACUCUUUCUUUAUUACAAUGGUAAAGAAAAAGAUAUAAACACAAUACAUAUCCUCUUGAGAAAAUGCAAGUAUUAUGUUUUUGAGGUUUUGUGCUUAAGAAAUUAAUCUAAUUUAUGUAGUUAGAAGAAUCUUAUUUUUUUAAGUUUUAGAAGAAUUAUAUGUUUGAUAAGGAAUAAAUUAAGAUUUA
rnacentral:lncRNA from 1 species